GGAGAGGUGUCAGAGCGGUUGAAUGAGCUGGUCUCGAAAACCAGUAUACGGCUUGCCGUAUCGGGAGUUCGAAUCUCCCCCUCUCCG
rnacentral:tRNA from 1 species